AAGCAGGGGAUCGUAAGGCCUUGCGCUUUUGGAGCGGCCGAUGUCUGAUUAGCUAGUUGGUGGGGUAAGGGCCUACCAAGGCGACGAUCAGUAGUUGGUCUGAGAGGACGACCAGCCACACUGGGACUGAGACACGGCCCAGACUCCUACGGGAGGCAGCAGUGGGGAAUUUUGGACAAUGGGCGAAAGCCUGAUCCAGCAAUGCCGCGUGAGUGAAGAAGGCCUUCGAGUUGUAAAGCUCUUUCAGUCGAGAAGAAAAGGCUACGGUAAAUAAUCGUAGUUCAUGACGGUACCGACAGAAGAAGCACCGGUUAACUACGUGCCAGCAGCCGCGGUAAUACGUAGGGUGCGAGCGUUAAUCGGAAUUACUGGGCGUAAAGGGUGCGCAGGCGGCUUUGUAAGUCAGAUGUGAAAUCCCCGGGCUUAACCUGGGAAUUGCGUUUGAAACUACAAAGCUAGA
rnacentral:rRNA from 1 species